rnacentral:rRNA from 1 species
GAAUAUUAGUCAAUGAUCGAAAGAUUGAUCUAGUUACUUAGAAAGAUGAAGAUUAUAAAAAAAAAUAUAAAAAAAAUAAUAAUGAAGAAUAUAAAAUCAAUAUAUAUAUUAAAAGAAAAAAGAUGAGAAUAUAUAUAGAAGUCUUAACCAAAAUUAGUGCCAGCAGUUGCGGCUAAACUAAGGAGGCAAACGUUAAUCAUUAAUGGCUUAAAGGAUCCGUAGAAUGAUAUUUCUAAGAAAUAUUAGAGUUAAAUAGAAUAAUAAUGAAAAAUUAUAUUGAGAGAUGAAAUGUGUGGAAAAUAAUUAGACAAAUAAACGUGAAGAUAAAAUUAGAAAUUUAACUGACAUUGAGGGAUGAAGGCAUGAGUAGCAAAACGGAUUAGAUACCCGAGUAGUUCAUGCAGUAAACGAUGAAUACUAAAAAAGAAAUAAAAGCGAAAGCAAAAGUAUUCCGCCAGGAGAGUAUAGCUUCAAAGUUGAAAUCCAAGACAAUAGACGGUUACAGUUGUAGGCAGUGGAUUGUGUUAUUUAAU